UGAGAAGCUGGGUGAAUGGGUAGGCCUCUGUAAAAUUGACAGAGAGGGAAAGCCCCGUAAAGUGGUUGGCUGCAGCUGCGUUGUUGUUAAGGACUAUGGCAAGGAAUCUCAGGCCAAA